GGUGUAUUUGCAUCUAAGAUUACUCCAGCAAAGGAUGGGAAGCCAGUCACUAUAGAGCUUAUAGAUGCAAAGACUAAGGAACUUAAAGAUACUCUAGAGGUAGAUGCAGCAUUGAUUGCAACUGGAAGGGCCCCAUUCACCAACGGUCUUGGAUUAGAGAAUAUCAAUGUGGCCACACAACGCGGUUUCAUUCCUGUUGAUGAGCGCAUGAGAG
rnacentral:misc_RNA from 1 species